rnacentral:rRNA from 1 species
GACGAACGCUGGCGGCGUGCCUAAUACAUGCAAGUCGAGCGAGCUUGCCUAGAUGAUUUUAGUGCUUGCACUAAAUGAAACUAGAUACAAGCGAGCGGGCGGACGGGUGAGUAACACGUGGGUAACCUGCCCAAGAGACUGGGAUAACACCUGGAAACAGAUGCUAAUACCGGAUAACAACACUAGACGCAUGUCUAGAGUUUGAAAGAUGGUUCUGCUAUCACUCUUGGAUGGACCUGCGGUGCAUUAGCUAGUUGGUAAGGUAACGGCUUACCAAGGCAAUGAUGCAUAGCCGAGUUGAGAGACUGAUCGGCCACAUUGGGACUGAGACACGGCCCAAACUCCUACGGGAGGCAGCAGUAGGGAAUCUUCCACAAUGGACGAAAGUCUGAUGGAGCAACGCCGCGUGAGUGAAGAAGGGUUUCGGCUCGUAAAGCUCUGUUGGUAGUGAAGAAAGAUAGAGGUAGUAACUGGCCUUUAUUUGACGGUAAUUACUUAGAAAGUCACGGCUAACUACGUGCCAGCAGCCGCGGUAAUACGUAGGUGGCAAGCGUUGUCCGGAUUUAUUGGGCGUAAAGCGAGUGCAGGCGGUUCAAUAAGUCUGAUGUGAAAGCCUUCGGCUCAACCGGAGAAUUGCAUCAGAAACUGUUGAACUUGAGUGCAGAAGAGGAGAGUGGAACUCCAUGUGUAGCGGUGGAAUGCGUAGAUAUAUGGAAGAACACCAGUGGCGAAGGCGGCUCUCUGGUCUGCAACUGACGCUGAGGCUCGAAAGCAUGGGUAGCGAACAGGAUUAGAUACCCUGGUAGUCCAUGCCGUAAACGAUGAG